CAGUCGCCACGGGAAUACGUAGGGCGCAAGCGUUAUCCGGAAUUAUUGGGCGUAAAGAGCUCGUAGGCGGUUUGUCGCGUCUGCCGUGAAAGUCCGGGGCUCAACCCCGGAUCUGCGGUGGGUACGGGCAGACUAGAGUGAUGUAGGGGAGACUGGAAUUCCUGGUGUAGCGGUGGAAUGCGCAGAUAUCAGGAGGAACACCGAUGGCGAAGGCAGGUCUCUGGGCCAUUACUGACACUGAGAAGCGAAAGCAUGGGGAGCGAACAGGAUUAGAUACCCCGGUAGUCCCUGUCUCUUAUAU
rnacentral:rRNA from 1 species